rnacentral:rRNA from 1 species
GAUGAACGCUGGCGGCGUGCCUAAUACAUGCAAGUCGAGCGAACGGACGAGAAGCUUGCUUCUCUGAUGUUAGCGGCGGACGGGUGAGUAACACGUGGAUAACCUACCUAUAAGACUGGGAUAACUUCGGGAAACCGGAGCUAAUACCGGAUAAUAUUUUGAACCGCAUGGUUCAAAAGUGAAAGACGGUCUUGCUGUCACUUAUAGAUGGAUCCGCGCUGCAUUAGCUAGUUGGUAAGGUAACGGCUUACCAAGGCAACGAUGCAUAGCCGACCUGAGAGGGUGAUCGGCCACACUGGAACUGAGACACGGUCCAGACUCCUACGGGAGGCAGCAGUAGGGAAUCUUCCGCAAUGGGCGAAAGCCUGACGGAGCAACGCCGCGUGAGUGAUGAAGGUCUUCGGAUCGUAAAACUCUGUUAUUAGGGAAGAACAUAUGUGUAAGUAACUGUGCACAUCUUGACGGUACCUAAUCAGAAAGCCACGGCUAACUACGUGCCAGCAGCCGCGGUAAUACGUAGGUGGCAAGCGUUAUCCGGAAUUUUUGGGCGUAAAGCGCGCGUAGGCGGUUUUUUAGUCUGAUGUGAAAGCCCACGGCUCAACCGUGGAGGGUCAUUGGAAACUGGAAAACUUGAGUGCAGAAGAGGAAAGUGGAAUUCCAUGUGUAGCGGUGAAAUGCGCAGAGAUAUGGAGGAACACCAGUGGCGAAGGCGACUUUCUGGUCUGUAACUGACGCUGAUGUGCGAAAGCGUGGGGAUCAAACAGGAUUAGAUACCCUGGUAGUCCACGCCGUAAACGAUGAGUGCUAAGUGUUAGGGGGUUUCCGCCCCUUAGUGCUGCAGCUAACGCAUUAAGCACUCCGCCUGGGGAGUACGACCGCAAGGUUGAAACUCAAAGGAAUUGACGGGGACCCGCACAAGCGGUGGAGCAUGUGGUUUAAUUCGAAGCAACGCGAAGAACCUUACCAAAUCUUGACAUCCUUUGACAACUCUAGAGAUAGAGCUUUCCCCUUCGGGGGACAAAGUGACAGGUGGUGCAUGGUUGUCGUCAGCUCGUGUCGUGAGAUGUUGGGUUAAGUCCCGCAACGAGCGCAACCCUUAAGCUUAGUUGCCAUCAUUAAGUUGGGCACUCUAAGUUGACUGCCGGUGACAAACCGGAGGAAGGUGGGGAUGGCGUCAAAUCAUCAUGCCCCUUAUGAUUUGGGCUACACACGUGCUACAAUGGACAAUACAAAGGGCAGCGAAACCGUGAGGUCAAGCAAAUCCCAUAAAGUUGUUCUCAGUUCGGAUUGUAGUCUGCAACUCGACUACAUGAAGCUGGAAUCGCUAGUAAUCGUAGAUCAGCAUGCUACGGUGAAUACGUUCCCGGGUCU